rfam:Geobacillus caldoxylosilyticus NBRC 107762 DNA, contig: GCA01S048.
GGGGACGAUACGGAUUCGACAGGGAUAGAUCGAGCUUAAGCUGCGAGCCGAGGGGAUCGUCCUCGUAAAAAACGUCACCUAAAGAUAACUGGCAAAGAAAACUACGCUUUAGCUGCCUAAUUAAACGCAGCUAGCUCCUCCCGCCAUCGCCCACGUGGCGGUUCAGGGGCUCAUAGCGAGUGGGCUACGCCCGAGUCCGCCGCCUGAGGACGAGGGAAGAGACGAACCAGGCUAGCUGCUCGGAGGCCUGUCGGUAGGCGGAAGAUGCAGCGAAACCAAAUAUACCGACUACGCUCGUAGAUGCUUAAGUGGCGAUAUCUCUGGACGUGGGUUCGACUCCCACCGUCUCCAUAU